rnacentral:rRNA from 1 species
GACGAACGCUGGCGGCGCGCCUAACACAUGCAAGUCGAACGGAGCUGAGAGAAGCUUGCUUUUCUUAGCUUAGUGGCGAACGGGUGAGUAACGCGUGAGUAACCUGCCCUGGAGUGGGGGACAACAGUUGGAAACGACUGCUAAUACCGCAUAAGCCCACGAUCCGGCAUGGGAUUGAGGGAAAAGGAUUUAUUCGCUUCAGGAUGGACUCGCGUCCAAUUAGCUAGUUGGUGAGGUAACGGCCCACCAAGGCGACGAUUGGUAGCCGGACUGAGAGGUUGGACGGCCACAUUGGGACUGAGACACGGCCCAGACUCCUACGGGAGGCAGCAGUGGGGGAUAUUGCACAAUGGGGGAAACCCUGAUGCAGCGACGCCGCGUAGAGGAAGAAGGUUUUCGGAUUGUAAACUCCUGUCGUUAGGGACGAUAAUGACGGUACCUAACAAGAAAGCACCGGCUAACUACGUG